UACGGGGGGGGGCAAGCGUUGUUCGGAAUUACGUGGGCGUAAAGGGUUCGUAGGUGGCCUGUACUAAGUCAGACGUGAAAUCCCCUCAGCUUAACUGGGGAACUGCGUCUGAUACUGGGGGGCUUGAGAGCAGGAGAGGACGCGGAAGUUCCAGGUGUCAGCGGUGAAAUGCGUAGAUAUCUGGAGGAACACCGGUGGCGAAGGCGGCGUUCUGGACUGUUUCUGACACUGAGGAACGAAAGCCAGGGGGGCAAGGGAUAAGACGGUAC
rnacentral:rRNA from 1 species